GAACGAACGCUGGCGGCAUGCCUAACACAUGCAAGUCGAACGAGACCUUCGGGUCUAGUGGCGCACGGGUGCGUAACGCGUGGGAACCUGCCCUUAGGUUCGGAAUAACUCCCCGAAAGGGGUGCUAAUACCGGAUAAUGUCUUCGGACCAAAGAUUUAUCGCCUUUGGAUGGGCCCGCGUUGGAUUAGCUAGUUGGUAGGGUAAAAGCCUACCAAGGCGACGAUCCAUAGCUGGUCUGAGAGGAUGAUCAGCCACACUGAGACUGAGACACGGCCCAGACUCCUACGGGAGGGAGCAGUGGGGAAUAUUGGACAAUGGGCGAAAGACUGAUCCAGCAAUGACGCGUGAGUGAUGAAGGCCUUAGGGUUGUAAAGCUCUUUUACCCGGGAUGAUAAUGACAGUACCGGGAGAAUAAGCUCCGGCUAACUCCGUG
rnacentral:rRNA from 1 species